rnacentral:sRNA from 1 species
GGGGGGGAAAAGAAACCAACCGGGAUUGCCUUUGUAACGGCGAGUGAAGCGGCAAAAGCUCAAAUUUGAAAUCUGGUACCUUCGGUGCCCGAGUUGUAAUUUGGAGAGGGCAACUUUGGGGCCGUUCCUUGUCUAUGUUCCUUGGAACAGGACGUCAUAGAGGGUGAGAAUCCCGUGUGGCGAGGAGUGCGGUUCUUUGUAAAGUGCCUUCGAAGAGUCGAGUUGUUUGGGAAUGCAGCUCUAAGUGGGUGGUAAAUUCCAUCUAAAGCUAAAUAUUGGCGAGAGACCGAUAGCGAACAAGUACAGUGAUGGAAAGAUGAAAAGAACUUUGAAAAGAGAGUGAAAAAGUACGUGAAAUUGUUGAAAGGGAAGGGCAUUUGAUCAGACAUGGUGUUUUGUGCCCUCUGCUCCUUGUGGGUAGGGGAAUCUCGCAUUUCACUGGGCCAGCAUCAGUUUUGGUGGCAGGAUAAAUCCAUAGGAAUGUAGCUUGCCUCGGUAAGUAUUAUAGCCUGUGGGAAUACUGCCAGCUGGGACUGAGGACUGCGACGUAAGUCAAGGAUGC